UUUAAAAUGUCUUCUCUAGAACUGGACUUUACCUUAGGGAAGGUGAAGUUACUAAUAGCCCGGUUGCAUGGUUCAGGAGAUGGCGCAGCGGUUAAAGCACUGGACUCUCAAGCAUGAGGUUCUGAGCUCAGUCCCUGUCAGCACGUGUGCCAGAGUGAUGUCUGGCUCUGGCUCCUUCUCCCCCCUCCUCCUCCCCUUUCUCCUCUUCCUUUCCCUCCUCCUCCCCUUCCUCCUGCUAUCCCUCUCAUUAAUAAAUAAAAUAUAUUCUAAAAUAAUUUAAAAUCCAGUUGCAGACCAUUCUACUUACCUAAGUACAAAAGAUGCCAUUUCCCUGUCAACUUGUAAGUUUUAAGUCUCCAAAUUUAUAUUUUAUGUAUCAUUGUUUAAGCUUAGACAGAAAGUUGAAGAAGCAGUGCACUGACUGCCUCUGUCGACCUCUACUAGACUCACCAGCUUUUAACUCAUUUCUGCACUGUCUCAUCUAUGUUCUGUCAAACCUUAGCUUACAAACAUGAGCCUCUGAUCCUCUAAACGCCUCAGAAUGCGGGUGUUCUCCACACAACCCCGGUGUCAGUGUCACCAUUCAACACUCACACCAUAUUUACAGUUUGCAGAGUUCCCUCAAAGUAUCUCAAAAGAGAAUGGUCUUUGUUUUGUUUUUGUUUUUGUUUUCCUUCCUGACACAAGAUCGAGUCUUGGUUCAUGCACUUGGCAGUCACCCUGCCCUGGCUUCACUGACGCGCAGUAGCACUGCCCUCAGCGCUAUCUCCCCGUCUGCCGGACGAGUCAGUCGACGCUGAUCACUGCACAGUGCACCCUACCCUGAGCUUGUCUGCUAUUUGCUGUAUCACAUAAGAUGUGUGUGAGUGUUUCCACCAUGUUGUCAGUAAGCGCUGAAACAGGAGAAAUGUUAGUGAGCUCUGUGCCUGUGUUUGGCUUACGCGGCCUUAGUAUUAAGUACAUGCAUCAGUGUGUGGAGUGAGACUCGCUUCUCAACAUAGACAGUGCUGUUGGAGACAUAAAGGGAGUAUAUUCACGCCGUGGAAUGGAUUCUAAGCUCCACUGACUUCUGGUUGUUGUACUUGUCACUAUAAAAUACUAUAGUUUUGCUGUUAAUAAAACAUCAGUUUUGUGUAUAA